UCCGGGAUGGUGUAACGGUAGCACGACUGGCUCUGAACCAGUUAGUCUAGGUUCGAAUCCUAGUCCCGGAA
rnacentral:tRNA from 1 species